UUUCUGAAAGAGUCCUGAUGAAUAUAACUAUCCCACGCUCUUUUUAAUUUUUGUUUUACUGUAGGCCCCAGGAUACUUUAGCUGUAGGAGAAUUUGGUUUUGUACAAAUAAAAACCAAGAAGUUCAUUUAAAUGAAAAAUGAGAUAAAGAUGGGGAAUGGGUACAAAUAGGCAUAUGCCCUGAGGGUAAGUGUUCACGGACAAGGGAAGUUACAAUAUUUCUUCUCAAAAUAUUUGUUUAAAUAUGGUCAGAAAUUUUCAAGGAGGAGAUGCUAGGAAAGAUGUUGCCCUGCCUAAAUGCAAGAGAGGCCUGAGGAUUUCUGGACCUAAUCGCUACUGUUUUAUGCCAAGUUUGAAGAUUCAUCAUACUUUAGGCUUUAUAAAAUAUUUCUCCUCUGGGUGCUUUGGUUGCAUAAAUUUUCUAUAUUUGGUAGGCAUGUUUUUCCAGUGGGACCUUUCUCCAUUGUGUACAUCUCUCCCCCACCCCCAGGGACAUAUAAGAAAAAAAUUCAGCUUGUUUUUCUAUCUAAACAGAGGUUGGUGCUAAGCACAAAAAUCUAGCUAUGAGUAAAUUAUGCUCUGAUCUUGAAGGAUAAAAUAAACACAAAGUGAUGCAGAGCUGGGUUUUGCCAGAGCCAAAUGGAACAUGACGUCCAGAAGUUUCCAAUUGAGUUCCAAAAUUAGAAUAAAUCUUGGCAAAAUGCAUACUCAUGUCCCAUCAGGAAUUUUAUCACUUGAACUCAGUGCUGGCUACUCCAUGUCUUACUCAUUCCAGUAGCUCCCAGGAGGCCUGAGGACCUGACUCUAUGUGUUCCUGGAGCUGCCCUGGGCCUGCCGGUUUUAACUUUGCCUCAGUUAGGAUGGAAGUAGGGCAUCAAAAACCCAAUCAGUGAUGUAAGCCUUGAACACCCACUUUCAGCCCCAUUUCUUCUAGGAAGUCCAGCUGCUGCAGCUGAAUGUAUCACUGAGUAGUCAUCCUUCUUGGUUUCGCAGUGUUGCCCUCUCAGAAGCUCCUGGUGGCUCUCUGCUCUGCUGAACAUCAGCUGGACUGACAAGUGGGUCUCGGCGUUUACAUUGGCUCUGACGAGACUGCCUUUAGAACACUGCCCUCCAUGAUCUGCAGUGAAACCUGGGCAAAAGGCCCUGGCCCUAUGCCUGCCCACAGUCUAGGAAGUGGAUUCAGUGGGGCCUACAGAACCUGCCAGAUUCUACUUAUUGCUGUGACUGCCAGCCUCCAAGACAGCAUCCAACAAUCCUGGGCUCUUGGCGUGCUCAGCCUUGUGUCGUCCCCUCCCACAUGGUCCCGAGAAUUGGGCUAUGUGACCAAUAAAAUAUUAAAGAAAUGAUGACAUAUAACUUCUGAAAUGAGGUUAUAAAAGACACUGUGGCUUCCUUGGUGGGCACAUGGCACGUGUUCACUCUCUCAGAUCACUGGCUUCAAAGGAAACCUGUUGCCAUGUUGAGCAGCCCUAGGAGAGGCCCCCGUGGUAAAGAAUGGAGCCAGGCCGUCUCCAAAUAGCCAAGCUAGUGAGACCUCUUGGAAGCAGAGAGUCUUCAGAUUAUCACACUCCAAAUCGACUGCCUGGCCGUGGCCUCAUGAGACCCUGAGCUGGAGUCUCUCUACUAGUCUGCUCCCAGGUUCCUGACCCUCUGAAAUUUUGUGGGACAGUAACAUGUUUAUCUAAUGAAAACUUUAAAAAUAUAUUUAUUUGGUAAAUAUCUGUAUCAUAAGCUGCUGCUAAAUUAUGGGAGAGUUUAUUAUGCAGCAAUAGACAACUAACACAGUGACUGUGGGUUUGCUGAGAUUCUGUGCCACAAAACUUCUCCUUAUGAGAUCAGGAGGAAUGAGCAGCCCUUGGGACAUCUGUUCUUGUGGCAGAGAAGAAAAGCCAGAGGGGAGUGGAAACUCACAAGGGCAUCGAACCAUCUGCUUAGAACUGGCACAGGAGACUGCUGCUCACCUUUCAUUGGUCAAAGCAGGACAUGGUUGAGUCUGUUUAUGGGGCAGAUAGGUAUAUUCUUUCCGCAGGAAGGUACUGUAGGAGUCCUCAAAGGGUUAAGAACCUGACAUAGUCUCACGAGGAUGCAGGUUCGAUCCCUAACCUCACUCAGUGGAUU